rnacentral:rRNA from 1 species
GAUGCUAUCGGNUUGAUACUAAGCCAUGCGAGUCUUUGCAGUAAUGCAAGGCAUACGGCUCAGUAACACGUAGUCAACUUACCCUAUGGACGAGGAUAAUCUCGGGAAACUGAGCGUAAUACUCGAUAGAUCAUAAUGCCUGGAAUGGUUUAUGGUUGAAAUGAUUCGUCGCCAUAGGAUGGGACUGCGGCCUAUCAGCUUGUUGGUGAGGUAAUGGCCCACCAAGGCGAUUACAGGUACGGGCUCUGAGAGGAGAAGCCCGGAGAUGGGUACUGAGACACGGACCCAGGCCCUAUGGGGCGCAGCAGGCGAGAAAACUUUGCAAUGUGCGAAAGCACGACAAGGUUAAUCCGAGUGAUUUCUGCUAAAGAAAUCUUUUGCCAGUCAUAAAACCACUGGUGAAUAAGGGGUGGGCAAGUUCUGGUGUCAGCCGCCGCGGUAAAACCAGCACCUCAAGUGGUCAGGAUGAUUAUUGGGCCUAAAGCAUCCGUAGCCGGCUUUGUAAGUUUUCGGUUAAAUCCAUGUGCUCAACGCAUGGGCUGCCGAAAAUACUGCAUGGCUAGGGAGCGGGAGAGGUAGACGGUACUCAGUAGGAAGGGGUAAAAUCCUUUGAUCUAUUGAUGACCACCUGUGGCGAAGGCGGUCUACCAGAACACGUUCGACGGUGAGGGAUGAAGGCCGGGGGAGCAAACCGGAUUAGAUACCCGGGUAGUCCCGGCUGUAAACUCUGCGGACUAGGUGUCGCGUGCCCCUUCGGGGGCACGCGGUGCCGAANGGA